GCCCGGCAGCAGCGCCGCGGCCGCGCGAGGCGUUUGGUGUCGGCUGCGGGCCGUCCCGCCAGGGCCCUCUGACGUGCUGCGUGUGCACAGGUGGCUGCGCGGUGCCCGUCAGUGCGCCGCCCGUGGCGGGGUCUGUGUUCGGGGACGGGUGUGUUUGUGGCUGCAGUUGUCGCAGUUCGUCCCGGCCCUCCAGACCUCCCCAGCCCCACUCUCGGCCUCGUGGUCCUGGCACGACCGCUGCUUCUGCCCCGGAUGCUUCCUCUGGGCUCCACCCCCAGCACGUCCACGUCACGCCUGCUGCCUUAGUCCUGCAGAAAUCCUGCGCUUUGGAUUUGUGUCACCUUCUGUAAGUUGAAAGCUUCUGGACCAAGUGCGGCAGUGAGAUGGAGUCAGAAGAGGAGGUAUUGCCAUCAGAGAGUCAGCAAAGGUGGUUGACCAAGCCCAAAGGAGUGUGCUGAGGGGAGUUGAUGACCUGGACUUUUUCAUAGGGGAUGAAGCCAUAGAUAAACCCACGUAUGCCACAAAGUGGCCAAUAAGACAUGGAAUAAUUGAAGACUGAGAUCUAAUGGAGAGGUUCAUGGAACAAGUUAUUUUUAAUUUUCCCUGAGCUGAACCUGAGGGCCAUCACUUUUUGAUGAAACCUUCCUAGCAGAUUUGCCCUGUCUGUCCGUGCCCAGUGUGGGCCCUAGAGGGGAACAAAAUUACUUUGGUACAUUUUGAUGAGUCAAGAUUCUCUCCUGUUGCUGGUGAGGGGACCACAUCUCAUCACCUGGCCCCAAGAGACAGAACCUCCUCUGAAUACACCAGAAAAUAGAGAAUAUCUUGCAGAAAUUAUGUUCAAAUUAUUUAAUGUACCAGGACUCUACUUUGCAGUUCAGGAAAAAAGAGGAGGAGUUGCAUAGAUGAUUAACUUGGAAGAUUCCACAUGCUGUGUCCUCUGUGUGGUGAUUCUCAGUAGACAGUGAUGUCUUAAAGGCUCUGAAAAUGCCUACAUUAGAAAACUCUGUUUAUUCCACCACUUCCAAAUUUAACCAGAAAUAUUCCCCAACCCCUAAGCUGUUUCUGUUCCAUGGACUAGGAGACACUUCAGGAAACACUGGCCCAGUGGUUCUCAAAGUGAUCUAUGCAGCAAGGUCUCCUCAAAAGUGUUUUUUCCAAAAUACACAUUCUCAGAAUUUAUAUCAGACCACGGGUUUCCAGCCUCAAAAUUUUGGAUCGGGCAGUCCUCAGGGGGUGGAGGGUACUGAGCUGUGUGUUGUGGGAUGUCUAGCAGCAUCUCUGGUCUUGACCCACCAGGGGAAGCACCACCACCAGCCUCCCCUCCCUCAAGUGUGACAGCGAGAAAUGUCACCAGAUAUUGCCAGGUGCUCCUUGGGGGCAAAAUUGCACCUAGUUGAGAACCACUAUCCUGGUUCUGCCAGAUGAGAAUUUCUGGGUGCCAGGCCCAGUAUUUUGUCUUUCUAAAGUCCCCACAAGUAGUCUUAUUGCAAUCCAUCUGUGGACCCACACUGGGAACCAGUGGAUUAGAAAUUAAAACCUCCUGAUUCCACAAUAAAAUUCCUUUGUCUCUGGCUUUUCUUUGCAAAGCUUUGAUUUAUCUUACUGAGAAGUUGACUCCUCCAGAUUAAGUGCACAGAAUUUACAUGUUAGUUGUCCACUUUGGAAUUUGGAUUUGGGAGGAAGAUGGAAGGUAGGGAAGGGAAAGGUCAUUCAGACUCAGUAAGAAAGAAAGGGCCUAUUGCUCCAACCUGAAGAUAUGCUUGUGGAACACUUGAGAAAGUCCCCAUGCUGAUGGUCUCUGUGGUAUUUGUGAAGGCAGUGCUGGCCUUAGCUGUGUACUGGACAUCAUGACAAGUUGGUGAACACACAUUAACAGGAAUCAUCAUUGACAGCAGGGAUGGGGUCACUCACGCUAUCCCAAUGGUCAGCAGGGCAGCGAGUUCUGCUCUGUCUGUGGGCCUAACUUGAUUUGAGGUGAAGGAAGCAGUGAAAGAAAAAAAAAACCCUUCUGUUAAUUAAAGCACCACUUUUGAAGACAUACCUGUACUUAGCAAAGGUAACAAGAGCCUUUAAACACAGUUGUGUGAGAAAGUGGAAGAUGCCUAGUGUCUGUGGCACUGGCAGUUGGAAAUUUGCAGUAGCAGAUUUGUGCAGUCUGGUGUCAGCAGUCGUCUGAUGUCCCUGGCUCUGCUUGGCCCCGGUGUCACUUUGCCAGGAGGGUUUUCCUGACUUUCAUUCUGAACUGUAAUCUGGAUAUCAGUGGGUGCAGCACAUGAACAUUUGGAGGAUGAUUUUGUGUUCUGUGACAAUCCUCUGGAGAGGAUUUGUUUCUUGCUUUUUAAAAAUUUUUUAAGAGCCAAGAAGGAGAGAUUGUUCCCCUUGACUUGCAGGAUGCUCUGCAAUGUCACUUUUUGGUUUUAAUUUUCAAAAUAUAACAGAAGUGAUUUCUAAUUCAGGCUUCAAGAGACUAUAUAUAUAUAUAUAUAUAUAUAUAUAUAUAUAUAUAUAUAUAUAUAUUUGGUACAAUGGACUAGUUAAAUGAAUUAUUUAAAGAUUUUUUUUUAAUUAAUUGAAGCUAUCUGGAGGGGGUUACAUUGGGAAUUCAGACCUGCCUUUCCUCCUCCACGUCCCUUCUUGGAGGCAACCCCUGAUACUAAUGUUUGUUAUUUUGUGUAUUACAAGUAUCUUUUGUGCAAAUAUAGGUUUGUGUGUGUAUGUGCUAAGCUCCUUUUAAAAAUGCAAUAAAUGAAUCACUAUGCUAUACACUGGAAACUAACAGAAUUUUGUAAAUCAACUAAGACAAAUUUAAAAAAUGCAAACUAGUUUUUUUUAAAAAAACAAUUCAUUUAUUUCAUUUAAAAAAUAGUCACUGUUUUAUUUCAGGACGUUGCAGAGAUGAUGUACUAAUGCUGGUGCUUUAAUACCUCAAAGUUCAGAAAUCACUGCAGGGGGAGGCUGAUGUGUCUACAGUCAGGAGGAAAAAGCCAAAUCUUUCCCCUCUGUCAUUGCACCCUGCCAGUGUCCCCUUUGCCAGGGGGUGAGGAGAGGCAGGAGGCCUGCAGAGCAUGCUCUGUGCUCGCAGCCCCUUCAUCCAGUAUCAGAACACUGCCCCCUCCUGGGUGUGAGGUGUUUAGGUGCCACUUGCUGUGUGGUCCUGCCUGGCUCCUCUCUGAGGUCACGUCCUCAGAGGUCAGUGCAGGUCAAGGUCAGGGUCUGUGCCUGUGGGUCUGCUUCCUGGCCUCCCCUAUGCAUCUGAAACAAGUUUCACACUACGUGCAGGCCCACAGAGAAAGUUGUUGUUCAAAUUUUUCUCUGUUUCUUAAUGCAGUUUUUUUCCCCCUAUUUAUAAAAAUUUCAUUUACUGUACAAAAUUUAGGUAAAAUGGAGAAAUGUAAAGAAGAAAAUAGAAUGACCCACAAACCUGCCCAGAGGACUGUGCCACACUUUUUUGGUAUAGUCUACUGAGCUCUUUUUCUUAGACACACGAUACACAUUUUAAGCACAGUUGGGAUACCCUCCAUCUGAUUUCAUGUUCUAAUUGUACAAUGUGCUCCUGAGGUUGUAUUUUGCAUAUUGACUUAUCCCUGAUGUAUCUUUAUGGUUAAAUACUCUGUGGAAAGAUAUUUAGUAACUACCUGACAGCCCAUCAUGUGGGUGUAGCACAACUCACUUACUUGUUUUCCUACCAUUGGCUGUGGGUUGUUUUAAUAUAUUUAAUCUGUGAUGAAGCUGAUACUCAACAUGGGUUGAAUUAAUUUUAGAAAAUGUUAUAUGUAAUGUAUUGAGUAUAGAAAUUGUGAAUAGUUUCUGUUUGCGAGAGCUACUGUUCUUAUGACUUUUUUAUUUUAAUAAUGUGUACAUAUCUUUUUUCUUGAUCUUAAAUAUUUUACAAUUGGCUUGGGCUCCUGAGAAAGGCUACACACUCUCUCACUUCUAGAAGUUGGGCACCUCAGAAGACAUAAGAGGAAUUCAGUCACCUGUUCUUGUAACUUCAGUGGUAACUGUGCUUGUACAUAGUGGAACUGAUCCAUCUGUCAGAUGGAUGAGGAUUUGCUCCAGCCUUCUGUCUCCAUGAGUGUGUGACAAGCAACCAGUGCCAUCAGGGAGCUCAGAGUGCCUCCUCUACCUGGUGCAGGUGGAAGGUUAGGUAAUUGGAAGCUGCAUCAAACACAUCCCUAUUGCAGGUAGAGAUAUGAAUUUCAUUCAACAGCUGCCAAGGGAGAGGGAGGUGGGAAUCCCUCCUGAGCAACCACUGGAGACCGCAAAAGCCAUUAAGGAGAAGUACUGUCACAUUUGCCCCAAUAUAGUCAAGAAGUUUGCCAAGUAUGACGUGGAUCAGCGGAAGUGGAUCAAACAGCAAACAGGGAACAAUGCCAUAAGCCAGAAGAAAAUCAUUAUCGAUGUUGGCUAGGAAAGUUUCCCAGGCCCUGAAAUUUUCUUUCACCCAGAGAUACUGAUUAACAUGCCAAGUAUAAUGCCUGGCCCAGGAAGCUCAGGAGAUGAAUCAAAUAACUUGACCAUGAAGGAGCACUGAGGAGGAGGCAGAGAUGAUCUCUGGCAUGGAGUUUUAACGUGAGCUCUCCUCGGGCCUGGGAGAAAUUCUGAGAAUGACCCCUGAGAAUGAGCUCAGUGGUGAGAAGUCCAAGGACAGGAUGAGGUCGACAUUGCAAGUGUUUUUGGAAUAAGAAUCAACACACUUAAAGACUGGGAUUUGGAAGUGAGAAGGAGUACAUGGAAGUGAUUCAGGAAGACAAGGAAAUGAGACACAAGUGGCAACAUUUGUCAAAGUUCUAUGCAUUUGUUCCUUUGGAUUCAAGUGAAACAUCUGGAGUCAAUUCUUAACCCAAUGUUGGUUUGUUCUCACCAACCUCUUUGCCCUGCUAUUGGAAAAUAUAUUACAUUUCUGUAUGUUAUAUGCCCACAAAUACAAUUAAAUGUAUACUGCUUUAUGAUUUUUAAACAAGAUAAGAAAGGAUAAGAAAUAGGCAAUUAUACUCCUUUAUAAUUGCAUAAUUACCUUUAUCAGUGUUCUUUGUUUUGUGUGUGUGUGUAUUCAAAUUACUGUCUUGGGUCACUUGAUUUCAGCCUGAAGAACUAACUUUAGUAUGUCUUGUAAGGUAGGUCUACUGGCAGCAGAUUCCUUCAGAUUUUGUUUUCCAAAUGUCUUUUUAUUUCAUCUUCAUUUUUAAAUGAUAAUUUUGCUGGAUAUAUG